rnacentral:misc_RNA from 1 species
GCAAACUUGGUCAUUUAGAGGAAGUAAAAGUCGUAACAAGGUUUCCGUAGGUGAACCUGCGGAAGGAUCAUUAAUGAAUUCACUCUUGGAGCUGUUGCUGGCCUCUAGGGCAUGUGCACGCUUCAAAAGUCCAUUCUCAACCACCUGUGCACCUUUUGUAGACUGUGAAAGUCAUUUUCUCAUGUCUGUGUUCAGACUUGGUUGCCGGGAGUCAAUGAACUCUUGGUUGACUUUUCACAGUCUAUGCAUUUAUUACACUCUCAUUGUAUGUCUAUGAAUGUUUAUUUAUUGGGCCUUGUGCCUAUAAAUCUAAUACAACUUUCAACAACGGAUCUCUUGGCUCUCGCAUCGAUGAAGAACGCAGC